GAGCUCCCAUGGCGCCUGUUUAUCAAAAACAUUUCUAAUUGCAUUACAAUUAGUAAGACCUGCUCGAUGAAUAUUUAAAUUGCCGCAGUCAUUUGUGCUAAGGUAGCAUAAUAAUUUGCCUUCUAAUUAAAGGCUAGAAUGAAAGGCCUAACAUGGGGAAUACUUUAUUAAUUUAGUUAUUUUAAACUCACCUUUAAGUAAAAAGGCUUAAAUUCUUCAGGGGGACGACAAGACCCUAUCGAACUUCACUUUAGUUUUACUGGGGCGGUAAAGAAACAACUUCUUUUUUCUUUUUUAUAAAAAAACCUUCAUUCGUGAAUCUUGAACAAGUUACCGUAGGGAUAACAGCAUAAUUUUUUAUUAGAGAUCUUAUCAUAAAAAAAGAUUGUGACCUCGAUGUUGAAUUAAAUAUCUAUUAGGCGAAAAAGCUUAACAAGAAAGUCUGUUCGACUUUUAAUAAUUUACGUGAUCUGAGUUCAGACCGGCCAUGGGAGC
rnacentral:rRNA from 1 species